UCGGUUUAGCCGGAGCGAGGGCUGCACGGCAGGCAAAGCACCCUAAGUCUUGGGGUGUCCGGCGCGCUCCCGACGGCCCGUGAAAAUCCGGGGGAGCGGUUCGUUCUCACGCCUGGUCGUACUCAUAACCGCAUCAGCUCUCCAAGGUGAACAGCCUCUCGUCGAUAGAACAAUGUAGAUAAGGUAAGUCGGCAAAAUAGAUCCGUAAC
rnacentral:rRNA from 10 species